CAUUCUUUCAAGGUUCUGCUCCAUUAUUCUGUUUCUCUCUUUUCACAAUCCAUCAUCAUCCUUUCCGUGCUAUUUGUUUGCGGACGGAACCAAGGAGGCCACAACUAAUUCUAUAUUCAUCGUGCCAGAGUUGAGAACCAAGCCAAGGUUGAUCUCGAUUCAGCAUCAAUGGCGGAGCGGGAUCCGGAACUCGCUUAUGUCAUUGACGAACUCGACGAUCAGUCAUUCUUCUCGCUUUGCUUUGUUCCUUCAGCGUCCAUCAGAACUUGGCUUCACAAUAACACCGAGAGGUUGCAGGUUUGUGGAAUAGAGUUCUCGAAGACGGCAGCAUGAUUGAAGGUUUCUAUUGCGUGCUAUUGAGCUUCUAAACGACGUGGAAGAUUUUGUUAGAUCAGCUGCGAUACGCAUUAUAAGACACUCGUUCUCCAGAUCUCUCUUCAUUGAUUCUGUUUUUACAACAUGAAGAUUGUUAUGAAGUGAUUUCAGUUCGGUAGUAAGUCGCUGUUCCUUAAGAUUCAUAGUCCUCUAUUUGAUAUAUACAUAGAUGUUUGAUGAGUUGAUGGCGAGAACUAAUUAUUUACUGUGUUAUAUACACGGAAUAUCAUGUUCCUUUAGCAGCAACACCUCUUCGCGAUUGAUACAGGUCAUCACCUGAGAUCUAAUGGUUGCGGCGCAUAGUCCAGAGAGGAAACUAUUUGUCUGAUGAAAUAUUCGUUAACGUGCGAAAGUCUGCCUGCGAUGCUUUGUAUACUUUGUCCAUCCUAUCAACGAAAUUUGCUGGCGAAGCCUUAAAUUUACUGAUGGAUGUCCUGAAUGAUGAUUCAGUUUCUGUCCGCUUGCAGCCUUUGGAGACAUUUCAGCGCAUGUUUCUCAGUGCUUUAAGUGACAAUAAUGGUCACGUAAGAUCUGCUUUAAGGAAAAUUCCUAAAUUAGCGAAGCUGCUUGAUUUGGACAUUCCAACCGUCUUUUAAUGGUCUUCUCGAAAGUUUAGAAUCAUACCCACAGGCCCAACGUCUGAAGGAAAGCUUGGAUUUGAUAGUGUGAAGCUACAUUGCUUGGAAGGAUCUCUCAUGCUUUGGACGACAAUAUGGAUCAAAGCACCAUUUUUGCUUGCUUGCUGCAAAAUAGUAAAAACAUUGGAUUAUUUGAGCUGGGGUUUAAUCCCGUGGGAGGCCCUUGCUCACCUACACCUGGAAGUUCUUUCAAUGAUAUACUUGCCAUUGCCUCCCUUAAGACGCCUGCAAGAUACAUGUGCAGCAGCUCAAAGAUGGUGAUGCCAUAGAAUCUAUCAAGACUAUGGUGCAAGACUUUGAGAUUUUGCAAGGAAGCAUUGGGAGUAUUCACGUAUCAAACGGACAGAUACAGUGGUUCCUUAACUUCUACAAUGCAGUAUCUCAAGAUAACGAAGCUGGCUGCAAAGCUAGGACUUGAAUGUUGGUUUGAGAAUGCUGAAGUUAAUGAACGCCGUGGAGGUCCAAAACGUGAUCCAGCACACAUUUGUAAAGAGGAGGACGUGUAUAUCUUUCCAUGAUCAACGAAGAAAUUGUUAUGGAGAUUCGAAGAAAAUCAGCAACAUCAAGUGUAAGGCAUCCAUCUUAUAUAUAGUUCAAAUGCUUACUGCUCCUGGAGAUACCUUGGACAUCCAAAGCUCAGCGUAUUAAUCAUUCUUUUAAAGCGUUGACAUGAGACUGCAUAGCCUUGGCAAUAACUGAUGCAAGAAUAUGUUCCCAGGUAUGUGAAUUGGCUAUUCCUUGGUAAUUUUGGUUGCACUUUAUCUAUAUAUACAUAUUCAUACAUACACACGCAUCAUUAAACUUAGAUUUUUCUUUGUUUGCUUCCUCAACACAAUCUAUCGAUUUUUUUCAAUAUAAAUUUUAUGCACAAUUAAUUAAGCAGUUGUUGGCUAGAGGCACUGACAGGAUAAAUCAUUAAAAAGAUUUUGUGUGCUAAUAGGUUCAUGAUUAAAUGAGUACAGCAAUAUCAUUAUUAGGCUCAAUUCAUUUACAUGUGGGCUUGCUUAGAACUUUUAGUAAAAUGAUUGAGUUUGUUUCUAUAUAUGGGCUUUGGAAGAAAAAUUGAAGUCAUCCUUACCGUUAUUAUACGGGAGAAA